AUUGGGCGUAAGCGCGCGCAGGUGGUUUCUUAAGUCUGAUGUGAAAGCCCACGGCUCAACCGUGGAGGGUCAUUGGAAACUGGGAGACUUGAGUGCAGAAGAGGAAAGUGGAAUUCCAUGUGUAGCGGUGAAAUGCGUAGAGAUAUGGAGGAACACCAGUGGCGAAGGCGACUUUCUGGUCUGUAACUGACACUGAGGCGCGAAAGCGUGGGGAGCAAACAGGAUUAGAUACCCUGGUCGUCCACGCCGUAAACGAUGAGUGCUAAGUGUUAGAGGGUUUCCCCCCUUUACUGCUGAAGUUAACGCAUUAACCACUCCGCCGGGGGAGUACGGCCGCAAGGCUGAAACUCAAAGGAAUUGACGGGGGCCCGCACAAGCGGUGGAGCAUGUGGUUUAAUUCCAAGCAACACGAAGAACCUUACCA
rnacentral:rRNA from 1 species